rnacentral:rRNA from 1 species
UACGACUUCGCUCAUUUUAUUGGUUAUUGGACGAAGUAAUGGUUAACAGGAACAGUUGGGGGCAUUCGUACUUAAGAGUCAGAGGUGAAAUUCUUAGAUUUCUUAAAGACGAACUAAUGCGAAGGCAUUUGCCAAGGAUGUUUUCAUUAAUCAAGAACGAAAGCGUUGGGAUCAAAAAGGAUCAGAUACCCUUGUAGUCAACGCCGUAAACGAUACUGACUAGGGAUUGGUGAGGCUAACCCUCAUCAGCACCUAAUGAGAAAUCAAAGUCUUUGAGUUCUGGGGAGAGUAUGGUCGCAAGGCUGAAACUUAAAGGAAUUGACGGAAAGAUACACAAGUCGUGGAUUCUGCGGCUUAAUUUGAUUUAACACGGGAAAACUUACGCAGGCAAAAAGCUAAAAGGAUUGACAGCUUGAUAGCACUUUCUUGAUAUGGCA